rnacentral:misc_RNA from 1 species
UCUCCGUUGGUGAACCAGCGGAGGGAUCAUUACAGAGUCGUAAAACACUCCCAAACCCAUGUGAACUUACCUAUGUUGCCUCGGCGGGCUACCCUGUAGACCGCCGGUGGACCAUUAAACUCUUGUUAUUCUAUGGAUAUCUGAGCGUCUUAUUUAAUAAGUUAAAACUUUCAACAACGGAUCUCUUGGUUCUGGCAUCGAUGAAGAACGCAGC